ACCCUGUUUUUCUCUGCAGGAUAAAAAAUAAAAGUUUCUUUAACCAGAUCUUUAUUGCUGGAUAUUUACAUUGUUUCUAAUCAUUGGUUCUGAAGAAAGCCACAGAUAUUUUGUUCCAGAAAUUGUGCAAGUCAUGGCCAGCAAGGAGAAUUAUAUGAUGGUGUUCCUCCAAGAGUGAUAAAUUUUGACAGUCAGUUUAGCAGGAAGCACAGUUUUCAUUCCCAUCUCAUGAUCCAAGUACCAAGAAGUUCUCUUCAUAACAUGUAUAAUUUCCAAAAAUUUAAAGCUUGAUUUCCCUACAAAUAAAAAGUGAACAUGUAUCAAAGAUCUAAUUAAUCCACUAAUGAGGAAACCAGUAACUUGGUAAGGCAGAUCCAAAGUAAAUAUGAGAAAACACAAGUAUUUAUUACAGCAGAGGACAGGAUGCUUCAUUUAGAUUGCUAAUUUAGUAUAAAACUGAUUAGUUUCCUAGAGGGCAUUAAAACUAUAAUUUUGCUGAUGUCAUUUGAAUCUCUACCAAAUAAAAUUUAUUU
rnacentral:lncRNA from 1 species